rnacentral:rRNA from 1 species
UACGUAGGGUGCAGGCGUUAAUCGGAAUUACUGGGCGUAAAGCGUGCGCAGGCGGUGAUGUAAGACAGAUGGGAAAUCCCCGGGCUCAACCUGGGAACUGCAUUUGUGACUGCAUCGCUGGAGUGCGGCAGAGGGGGAUGGAAUUCCGCGCGUAGCAGUGAAAUGCGUAGAUAUGCGGAGGAACACCGAUGGCGAAGGCAAUCCCCUGGGCCUGCACUGACGCUCAUGCACGAAAGCGUGGGGAGCAAACAGG